rnacentral:rRNA from 1 species
AAGAUGGUGAGAGUGGCGCACGGGUGCGUAACGCGUGAGCAACCUACCUCUAUCAGGGGGAUAGCCUCUCGAAAGAGAGAUUAACACCGCAUAACAUAAUUCUCCGGCAUCGGAGUAUUAUUAAAUAUUUAUAGGAUAGAGAUGGGCUCGCGUGACAUUAGCUAGUUGGUAGGGUAACGGCUUACCAAGGCGACGAUGUCUAGGGGCUCUGAGAGGAGAAUCCCCCACACUGGUACUGAGACACGGACCAGACUCCUACGGGAGGCAGCAGUAAGGAAUAUUGGUCAAUGGGCGGAAGCCUGAACCAGCCAUGCCGCGUGCAGGAUGACUGCCCUAUGGGUUGUAAACUGCUUUUGUCCAGGAAUAAACCUAAAUACGUGUAUUUAGCUGAAUGUACUGGAAGAAUAAGGAUCGGCUAACUCCGUGCCAGCAGCCGCGGUAAUACGGAGGAUCCGAGCGUUAUCCGGAUUUAUUGGGUUUAAAGGGUGCGUAGGCGGCCUAUUAAGUCAGGGGUGAAAUACGGUGGCUCAACCAUCGCAGUGCCUUUGAUACUGAUGGGCUUGAAUCCAUUUGAAGUGGGCGGAAUAAGACAAGUAGCGGUGAAAUGCAUAGAUAUGUCUUAGAACUCCGAUUGCGAAGGCAGCUCACUAAGCUGGUACUGACGCUGAUGCACGAAAGCGUGGGGAUCGAACAGGAUUAGAUACCCUGGUAGUCCACGCCCUAAACGAUGAUAACUCGAUGUUGGCGAUAGACAGCCAGCGUCCCAGCGAAAGCGUUAAGUUAUCCACCUGGGGAGUACGCCCGCAAGGGUGAAACUCAAAGGAAUUGACGGGGGCCCGCACAAGCGGAGGAGCAUGUGGUUUAAUUCGAU